CACGUAGGGUGCGAGCGUUGUCCGGAAUUAUUGGGCGUAAAGAGCUCGUAGGCGGUGUGUCGCGUCGGCCGUGAAACCUGGGGCUUAACUCUGGGCUUGCGGUCGAUACGGGCAUCACUGGAGUUCGGCAGGGGAGACUGGAAUUCCUGGUGUAGCGGUGAAAUGCGCAGAUAUCAGGAGGAACACCGGUGGCGAAGGCGGUUCUCUGGGCCGAUACUGACGC
rnacentral:rRNA from 1 species